rnacentral:rRNA from 1 species
UACGUAGGGUGCGAGCGUUGUCCGGAAUUACUGGGCGUAAAGAGCUCGUAGGUGGUUUGUCGCGUUGUUCGUGAAAUCUCACGGCUUAACUGUGAGCGUGCGGGCGAUACGGGCAGACUAGAGUACUGCAGGGGAGACUGGAAUUCCUGGUGUAGCGGUGGAAUGCGCAGAUAUCAGGAGGAACACCAGUGGCGAAGGCGGCUAACUGGUCCGAUACUGACGCUGAGGUGCGAAAGCGUGGGGAGCAAACAGG